GACGAACGCUGGCGGCGUGCUUAACACAUGCAAGUCGAACGAAGAGCGACGGAAGCUUGCUUCUAUCAAUCUUAGUGGCGAACGGGUGAGUAACGCGUAAUCAACCUGCCCUUCAGAGGGGGACAACAGUUGGAAACGACUGCUAAUACCGCAUACGAUCUAAUCUCGGCAUCGAGGAUGGAUGAAAGGUGGCCUCUACAUGUAAGCUAUCACUGAAGGAGGGGAUUGCGUCUGAUUAGCUAGUUGGAGGGGUAACGGCCCGCCAAGGCGAUGAUCAGUAGCCGGUCUGAGAGGAUGAACGGCCACAUUGGGACUGAGACACGGCCCAGACUCCUACGGGAGGCAGCAGUGGGGAAUCUUCCGCAAUGGACGAAAGUCUGACGGAGCAACGCCGCGUGAGUGAUGACGGCCUUCGGGUUGUAAAGCUCUGUUAAUCGGGACGAAAGGCCUUCUUGCGAAUAGUGAGAAGGAUUGACGGUACCGGAAUAGAAAGCCACGGCUAACUACGUG
rnacentral:rRNA from 1 species